UCUCGACAGCGAAAACAUUAACUCAAAUUUGUAUGGAGCUGGAACGUUUGCCUACGUUUGCCAAUAGGGGUGCUGCUCUAACUGCAUACAAAUUUGAGUUAACUUUUACGCUAUCGA
rnacentral:pre_miRNA from 9 species